rnacentral:rRNA from 1 species
UCAGGAUGAACGCUAGCGGCAGGCUUAAUACAUGCAAGUCGAGGGGCAGCACGGGUAGCAAUACCUGGUGGCGACCGGCAAACGGGUGCGGAACACGUACGCAAACUUUCCCAAAACUGGUGAAUAGCCCUCCGAAAGGAGGAUUAAUACACCGUAACAUAACGAGUAGGCAUCUACUUGUUAUUAUAGGCUUCGGCCGGUUUUGGAUGGGCGUGCGCCUGAUUAGGUAGUUGGCGGGGUAACGGCCACCAAGCCUGCGAUCAGUAACUGGUGUGAGAGCACGACCAGUCACACGGGCACUGAGACACGGGCCCGACUCCUACGGGAGGCAGCAGUAAGGAAUAUUGGUCAAUGGACGAAAGUCUGAACCAGCCAUGCCGCGUGAAGGAUUAAGGCCCUCUGGGUUGUAAACUUCUUUUAUCUGGGACGAAAAAAGGGCUUUCUAGCUCACUUGACGGUACCAGAGGAAUAAGCACCGGCUAACUCCGUG